rnacentral:rRNA from 1 species
CCUACGGGAGGCAGCAGUGAGGAAUAUUGGUCAAUGGCCGAGAGGCUGAACCAGCCAAGUCGCGUGCAGGAAGACGGCUCUAUGGGUUGUAAACUUCUUUUGUCCGGGAGCAAAGCGAGUUACGUGUGACUCAUUGAGAGUAUCCGACGAAAAAGCAUCGGCUAACUCCGUGCCAGCAGCCGCGGUAAUACGGAGGAUCCAAGCGUUAUCCGGAUUUAUUGGGUUUAAAGGGUGCGUAGGCGGCCUUUUAAGUUAGCGGUGAAAGUCUGUGGCUCAACAAUAGAAUUGCCUGUGAAACUGGUGGGCUGGAGGAUGGUUGAGGUAGGCGGAAUGCAUGGUGUAGCGGUGAAAUGCUUAGAGAUCACGCAGAACCCCGAUUGCGAAGGCAGCCUACCAAGCUAUGUCUGACGCUGAGGCACGAAAGCGUGGGGAGCAAACAGGAUUAGAUACCCCAGUAGUC